AAAAAUAAAGAGGAGUUUUUUUUUUUUGGUUCUCUUCUUCGUCUUCUUCACAGUAUCAAUCUCGCGCUGCUUAGUCUUCCAUCUCUUCUUCUUCGUUCGAUUCUCCUGGUUUGCUUCUUUCCUCUCCAGAUUUUUGUUCAUGUCCUCGUUUUCGUGUUCCGCUCGUGACUCAAUCUGAAACCCUUGUUUUGGAUUUGUGAUUUUGAGGGUUUUGUUUAGCAGGGGAAAAAGAGUGAUCGAUGGCUGGAAAAAGGAAACGAGCUAAUGUUCCUGAAAAAACUGAGCGACGAACGAGNNN
rnacentral:lncRNA from 1 species